rnacentral:rRNA from 1 species
AGAGUGACAGGUGGUGCAUGGUUGUCGUCAGCUCGUGUCGUGAGAUGUUGGGUUAAGUCCCGCAACGAGCGCAACCCUUGAUCUUAGUUGCCAGCAUUCAGUUGGGCACUCUAAGGUGACUGCCGGUGACAAACCGGAGGAAGGUGGGGAUGACGUCAAAUCAUCAUGCCCCUUAUGACCUGGGCUACACACGUGCUACAAUGGGCAGAACAAAGGGCAGCGAAGCCGCGAGGCUAAGCCAAUCCCACAAAUCUGUUCUCAGUUCGGAUCGCAGUCUGCAACUCGACUGCGUGAAGCUGGAAUCGCUAGUAAUCGCGGAUCAGCAUGCCGCGGUGAAUACGUUCCCGGGCCUUGUACACACCGCCCGUCACACCACGAGA